AUUGAACGCUGGCGGCAUGCUUUACACAUGCAAGUCGAACGGCAGCGCGGGCUUCGGCCUGGCGGCGAGUGGCGAACGGGUGAGUAAUGCAUCGGAACGUGCCCAGUAGUGUGGGAUAGCCCGGCGAAAGCCGGAUUAAUACCGCAUACGACCUGAGGGUGCAAGCGGGGGACCGAAAGGCCUCGCGCUAUUGGAGCGGCCGAUGUCGGAUUCGCUAGUUGGUGGGGUAAAGGCUUACCAAGGCGGCGAUCCGUAGCUGGUCUGAGAGGACGACCAGCCACACUGGGACUGAGACACGGACCAGACUCCUACGGGAGGCAGCAGUGGGGAAUGUUGGACAAUGGGGGCAACCCUGAUCCAGCCAUGCCGCGUGCGAGAAGAAGGCCUUCGGUUUGUAAACCGCUUUUGUUCGGGAAGAAAUCCUCUGGGCUAAUACCCCGGGGGGAUGACGGUACCGGAAGAAUAAGCACCGGCUAACUACGUG
rnacentral:rRNA from 1 species